GCUAGGUACAGUGGUGUAUAUCUGUAGUCCCAGUUACUCAGGAGGCUGAGGCAGGAAGAUCUCUGGAGCCCGAGAGUUUGGGGUCAGCCUGGGCAACAUAAAAAAUUUU
rnacentral:sRNA from 1 species